rnacentral:rRNA from 1 species
GGUCUGAGAGGACGACCAGUCACACCGGAACUGAGACACGGUCCGGACUCCUACGGGAGGCAGCAGUGGGGAAUAUUGGACAAUGGGGGAAACCCUGAUCCAGCGACGCCGCGUGGGUGAAGAAGGCCUGCGGGUUGUAAAGCCCUUUCGGUUGGGAAGAAAAGUUGCGACCUAACACGUCGCGACCUUGACGUAACCAACUAAAGAAGCACCGGCUAACUCUGUGCCAGCAGCCGCGGUAAUACAGAGGGUGCGAGCGUUAAUCGGAAUUACUGGGCGUAAAGCGCGCGUAGGCGGCUUUGCAAGCCGGAUGUGAAAUCCCCGGGCUUAACCUGGGAACUGCAUUCGGGACUGCAUUGCUAGAGUAUGGGAGAGGGAAGUGGAAUUUCAGGU